rnacentral:tRNA from 1 species
GCGUCGUAGUCUAGCCUGGUUUAGGACAUUACUUAUCAAACAAAAGUGUCCAAUGGCCUUCCAAGCCAACAACCCGGGUUCAAAUCCCGGCGGCCGCACCA